UAAAUGGCCUUUUUAAAGGCCAUAAACUCAUUACAGGGCAUUCAAG
rfam:Colius striatus contig46296, whole genome shotgun sequence.